CCUACGGGUGGCAGCAGUGAGGAAUAUUGGUCAAUGGACGAGAGUCUGAACCAGCCAAGUAGCGUGAAGGAUGACUGCCCUAUGGGUUGUAAACUUCUUUUAUAUGGGAAUAAAAUGUUCCACGUGUGGGAUUUUGUAUGUACCAUAUGAAUAAGGAUCGGCUAACUCCGUGCCAGCAGCCGCGGUAAUACGGAGGAUCCGAGCGUUAUCCGGAUUUAUUGGGUUUAAAGGGAGCGUAGGUGGAUUGUUAAGUCAGUUGUGAAAGUUUGCGGCUCAACCGUAAAAUUGCAGUUGAAACUGGCAGUCUUGAGUACAGUAGAGGUGGGCGGAAUUCGUGGUGUAGCGGUGAAAUGCUUAGAUAUCACGAAGAACUCCGAUUGCGAAGGCAGUUCACUGGACUGCAACUGACGCUGAGGCUCGAAAGUGUGGGUAUCAAACAGGAUUAGAUACCCUUGUAGUC
rnacentral:rRNA from 1 species